GAGGGUAUCUCUUAGUGGUAGAGCACUUGCUUACCAAGCAUGAGGUCCUGGGUUCAAUCCCCAGUACCCCCA
rnacentral:tRNA from 1 species